ACCCGCUGAACUUAAGCAUAUCAAUAAGCGGAGGAAAAGAAACCAACAGGGAUUACCUCAGUAACGGCGAGUGAAGCGGUAACAGCUCAAAUUUGAAAUCUGGCUCUUUCAGGGUCCGAGUUGUAAUUUGUAGAAGAUGCUUUGGGUGUGGCCCUGGUCUAAGUUCCUUGGAACAGGACGUCAUAGAGGGUGAGAAUCCCGUAUGUGACUAGGUGCUUUCGCCCGUGUAAAGCUCUUUCGACGAGUCGAGUUGUUUGGGAAUGCAGCUCAAAAUGGGUGGUAAAUUUCAUCUAAAGCUAAAUAUUGGCCAGAGACCGAUAGCGCACAAGUAGAGUGAUCGAAAGAUGAAAAGCACUUUGGAAAGAGAGUUAAACAGUACGUGAAAUUGUUGAAAGGGAAGCGCUUGCAACCAGACUUAGUUGCGGCCGAUCAUCUAGGGUUCUCCCUGGUGCACUCGGUCGUGUCUAGGCCAGCAUCGGUUCGGGUGGUGGGAUAAAGGCCUUGGGAAUGUAGCUUCUUUCGGGGAGUGUUAUAGCCCUCGGUGCAAUGCCGCCUACCUGGACCGAGGACCGCGCUUCGGCUAGGAUGCUGGCGUAAUGGUUGUAAGCGACCCGUCUUGAAACACGGACCAAGGAGUCUAACAUCUAUGCGAGUAUUUGGGUGUCAAACCCAUAUGCGUAAUGAAAGUGAACGGAGGUGAGAACCCUUAAGGGUGCAUCAUCGACCGAUCCUGAUGUCUUCGGAUGGAUUUGAGUAAGAGCAUAGCUGUUGGGACCCGAAAGAUGGUGAACUAUGCCUAAAUAGGGUGAAGCCAGAGGAAACUCUGGUGGAGGCUCGCAGCGGUUCUGACGUGCAAAUCGAUCGUCAAA
rnacentral:rRNA from 1 species